GGGGAAGCCAUAGUUAGGGUUUUCAAGCUUCCAAGCUCCAUAAUCAAGAAGUACGAAACUCGAGGUUAGACAAAGGGAAGAAUAAAGUUGAAGGCUAAGUUGGUGAAUUUGGCUAUAAUUGGUACCGAGUAUUGCAAAGCUACUUCAAGGAUCCUAAAGAAGUCGGAGAUCGUCCACACUAUCAACUACAACUGCUCGGUAUUUUAUAUCAAAACACGUUUGAGUUAUGGCAUGUAUAGGGAUUUAGUUAUUUUGUAUGUUUGUAAUGAUGAUUUUGCUAAUGAGUGAUGUGUAAGUAUUUGAUGAUGU